CGUUCACACGUGAAGCGGUGUCCGAAGUGUGACUGUAUUGCUGGCUCACGGGCUCAGCGUCGGUGGUUUCCUCGCCUAGCUUUGUGUUCACCCAGGAUCUACUAGGCAUGGCUCUCGGUUCUGGCCGGCCUUGACCUGCCGCACGACGUAGCGGGGAGCCUACCCGCGCAAACUGCAGUCCCGGUUUCCGGCCACUUUUGGGCGCGCUAGCUAAUCCGUGCCAGGAGUGGAUUAGCUGGCACGUGGGAGCGGAUUAGCUAGCAAGGUUGGCAGGAGGUUGGUGAGGGAGUCGAACUGGACGUAGAGGCGGUUCAGGAGGCGCACGAUGUCCAUGGGCUGAACGUUCUCGCUGCCGCAGAGUGCCGUGAAUCCGACGAUGUCCGAGAAGAGGCACGACACCAUCUCGAACUU